AACGGCCGUACCAUGCUGAAUAUACCGGUUCUCGUUAGAUCACCGAAGUCAAGCAUCAUUGGGCGCGGUCAGGGGCGCGGUCAGUACUUGAGUGGGUGACUACCUGGGAACACCGCGUGCUGUUA